UAGGGAAUCUUCCGCAAUGGGCGAAAGCCUGACGGAGCAACGCCGCGUGAGUGAUGAAGGUCUUCGGAUCGUAAAACUCUGUUAUUAGGGAAGAACAAAUGUGUAAGUAACUAUGCACGUCUUGACGGUACCUAAUCAGAAAGCCACGGCUAACUACGUGCCAGCAGCCGCGGUAAUACGUAGGUGGCAAGCGUUAUCCGGAAUUAUUGGGCGUAAAGCGCGCGUAGGCGGUUUUUUAAGUCUGAUGUGAAAGCCCACGGCUCAACCGUGGAGGGUCAUUGGAAACUGGAAAACUUGAGUGCAGAAGAGGAAAGUGGAAUUCCAUGUGUAGCGGUGAAAUGCGCAGAGCUAUGGAGGAACACCAGAGGCGAAGGCGACUUUCUGGUCUGUAACUGACGCUGAUGUGCGAAAGCGUGGGGAUCAAACAGG
rnacentral:rRNA from 1 species